GGAGGAGGUGAUAUUACUAAAGAGGUUUUGCAUAACUGUCUUGCUAUGCAAUUACUUUCCGCCUUCUCCUGACCUAUUUUUGAAUGGAAGUGGCUGUCGGAGCUCUGCAAUGUGCUGCCACUGCUGCUGUCACCGUGCGUGAAGUGAGCUCGGAGCACACCUACGGAGCUGGGCCACUUGGCAAAUUGAGCACGACACACUGCUUUGCAUCCCAGAUGGACUAGAUGUGGAGGAUGUGCACUUCAUUCAGCUGAGAAGGAUGACAAACUUCAGCCCAGAAUCAGUGCCUGUAAUAAGACAAUGAUGUCACUGGCUCUACAGACUAUUGUGGAAGAGGGAUGAUGUGAAUACAAACAGCUAUAAGAGAACAGGAUUUACCAGUGUUUUGAUUUUAAGUUUUUAACUGAAAAUGGAAGAUGUAUUUGGAAAGCACCACCUAGACCACCUCUGUCUUCCAGAGACAUUCUACAUUGUCAUCCACUAAAGAAAUUAUAAGGUCCACAAGUAGACAAGUGACUGAGAAUGUAGAGGACCAGCCUUUCCAAACAGUUAUCACCUUUCCAAACAGUUUUGAAAAUUGAUCCAGAUAUGAAAGCCUUUUGAGCAAGAACUGAAGAAUAUAGAAGUUUCCAGUAGCAACAGGAGCAAUUCCUUCUGUGCUGAAGACUCAUCUUUUCACUAGAACUGAAUGUAUCUUCUUUAUACUCAAUAUCAAGAACAUCAAAAAAACCCCAAAUUUACAUCACUAGAAAAUUGUGUGAAGCUGAAUUUAAGUAGAACUAGUCUUUUUAAGAAUAAAAGAAAACAAGAUGUUAAAAGCUAAUUUUAAUUUGUGACAUGCAGCUAAACCGUCUGUUUCUACUUGUUCUCUGAUAUUUGGAGUUGGCUUCCUUGGACAUAGGACAUCUGUGUUGAUAUGUAGCCAUAAUGAUUGCUAAAAGAAUCCUAAUCUUUAUGUCUAAUUUCUCAGUUAUGUCAUUUGAGACUUAGACAUUUCUUAUAUUAUUCAUCACAGGUAUUGAAAAUAAUUGAAGUAUUUCCAAGGAAGUCUUGAGGACAAAAUGCCAAAUCUUGAGGACAGGGGAGAGUUUGCAAAUUGCAGGGAUGCAGCAUCAAGCUAAAGAACAAGGGAUUAACCAUUUUAGUGUGCAGUACACCAGAGAGGGCAAGAAGUACAGGAGAAAGCAAAAGUCAUUGUAUGUUAAGUACUGAACUAGUGAAAGCUGUCAUAUAAUUUCUGAGAGGGUUGGUUGACUUCUACUUUGUAUCUGUCAUAUGUUUCAAUCUGUGUGCUAUUGUACUUUACUCAUGCAAAUCUAAGUGGAAAUAAAUAA